rnacentral:rRNA from 1 species
UUCCGGUUGAUCCUGCCGGACCCCACUGCUAUCGGGGUGGGACUAAGACAUGCGAGUCGUACGCCUCCCGGCUGCCGGGGGAGGUGUGGCGCACGGCUCCGUAACACGUGGCUAACCUACCCUCGGGACGGGGAUAACCCCGGGAAACUGGGGCUAAUCCCCGAUAGGCGAGGAUGCCUGGAAUGGUUCCUCGCCGAAAGGGCGCCGGCACCGUGCUGUCGGCGUCGCCCGAGGAUGGGGCCGCGGCCGAUCAGGUUGUUGGUGGGGUAACGGCCCACCAAGCCGAUAACCGGUACGGGCCGUGAGAGCGGGAGCCCGGAGAUGGGCACUGAGAUAAGGGCCCAGGCCCUACGGGGCGCAGCAGUCGCGAAACCUCCGCAAUGCGCGAAAGCGCGACGGGGCCACCCCGAGUGCCGCCCGCUGAGGGUGGCUUUUCCCCGGUGUAAGUAGCCGGGGGAAUAAGGGGAGGGCAAGUCUGGUGUCAGCCGCCGCGGUAAUACCAGCUCCCCGAGUGGUGGGGACGAUUAUUGGGCCUAAAGCGUCCGUAGCCGGCCCGGCAAGUCUCCCGUUAAAUCCAGCGAUCUAAUCGCUGGACUGCGGGAGAUACUGUCGGGCUAGGGGGCGGGAGAGGCCGGCGGUAUUCCCGGGGUAGGGGUGAAAUCCUAUAAUCCCGGGAGGACCACCAGUGGCGAAGGCUGCCGGCUGGAACGCGCCCGACGGUGAGGGACGAAAGCCGGGGGAGCGAACCGGAUUAGAUACCCGGGUAGUCCCGGCCGUAAACGAUGCGGGCUAGGUGUUGGCACGGCUACGAGCCGUGCCAGUACCGCAGGGAAGCCGUUAAGCCCGCCGCCUGGGGAGUACGGCCGCAAGGCUGAAACUUAAAGGAAUUGGCGGGGGAGCACCACAAGGGGUGAAGCCUGCGGUUUAAUUGGAUUCAACGCCGGA